GAAAACGGGGAUCGAAAGACCUCGCGUUAUUGGAGCGGCCGAUAUCUGAUUAGCUAGUUGGUGGGGUAAAGGCCCACCAAGGCGACGAUCAGUAGCUGGUCUGAGAGGACGACCAGCCACACUGGAACUGAGACACGGUCCAGACUCCUACGGGAGGCAGCAGUGGGGAAUUUUGGACAAUGGGGGAAACCCUGAUCCAGCCAUUCCGCGUGAGUGAAGAAGGCCUUCGGGUUGUAAAGCUCUUUCGCAAGGAAAGAAAACUUACCCUCUAAUAUAGGGUGAGGCUGACGGUACCUUGAGAAGAAGCACCGGCUAACUACGUGCCAGCAGCCGCGGUAAUACGUAGGGUGCGAGCGUUAAUCGGAAUUACUGGGCGUAAAGCGUGCGCAGGCGGUUCUGCAAGUCAGAUGGAAAUCCCCCAAUUCGGCAAAUGUUUG
rnacentral:rRNA from 1 species